rnacentral:rRNA from 1 species
AUUGAACGCUGGCGGCAUGCUUUACACAUGCAAGUCGAACGGCAGCGCGGGCUUCGGCCUGGCGGCGAGUGGCGAACGGGUUAGUAAUGCAUCGGAACGUGCCCAGUAGUGGGGGAUAGCCCGGCGAAAGCCGGAUUAAUACCGCAUACGACCUGAGGGUGAAAGCGGGGGACCGAAAGGCCUCGCGCUAUUGGAGCGGCCGAUGUCGGAUUAGCUAGUUGGUGGGGUAAAGGCUUACCAAGGCGACGAUCCGUAGCUGGUCUGAGAGGACGACCAGCCACACUGGGACUGAGACACGGCCCAGACUCCUACGGGAGGCAGCAGUGGGGAAUUUUGGACAAUGGGGGCAACCCUGAUCCAGCCAUGCCGCGUGCGGGAAGAAGGCCUUCGGGUUGUAAACCGCUUUUGUUCGGGAAGAAAUCCUCUGGGCUAAUACCCCGGGGGGAUGACGGUACCGGAAGAAUAAGCACCGGCUAACUACGUG